rnacentral:tRNA from 1 species
UGGGAUGUAGCUCAUCGGUAGAGCAGUAGACAUUUAAUCUACGUGGAGCGGGUUCAAUUCCCGUUAUCUUGACCA